rnacentral:lncRNA from 1 species
AUUAGUUGCAGGACCUCCCCAUUCCGCUCUUUUUCUUCUUUUUUCGUCUUUUGUUUUUCUUUUGUCCAGGGUUUUCUUUAGACUCCUUUGUUUUUUUUCGAAAAGAAAGAAUGUCCCGGCUUCUACAUCAAUUGAUGCACACAACCAAAUUUAUCACGAAGUUGCACAGUGUUUUCUCCUUUAACCACGAAUGAAAGGAUUUCAGAGCAUAAUAUAGUAAUGUUUUUCUCGUGUUGCGGAGUGAAUAGUGUAUGAGCAUUGCACAAGCGUUGGGACUCCAUGCAGCCGAUCCUAACUUUCUUGCGAAGGAGAUGAUGGCUGCUUCAUCGCCGUGCCCGGCCCACCGCGCGCGGCACCACAUACCCACUAUGCGAUGUGAUCUAUCCGCAACAGAAUACGAGCAAAUAAUCAUGUUUCAUUUUAUUUGAUAGAUUAGGCUUUUACGGUUCUACGAGAAGGGAGGGCUCCUGGCAAAUCAAUCCAUCCCGCGCUAGUAACCUGACCUGUGAUUUGGAGGUGCGUUGGAUGAUUUGUCAUGGAGUUGAACACGUCCAUUGGUUGGUGUGAAAUUAUAGGUGAUGUGUAAUAUUAGCAAAUGUUUUAGGUGAAAUAUUGACGUGGAUACUUUAGAUAAUAUAGAUACUUAUGUGAUGACAUGUAUCAUGUUUUGGACUUAGUGAUUUGCUAGUGGUGUGUUGAUCCAUUAGUUUCUUAUGUGAAAAACAUGGCGUGAGUUGUGUAGAACUUAUUCUGAGUCAAUUCGUGGACUUGUGCGCGUACUGGUUAUUUGUGUGUUCGCUUUCAGGUGUUGCUGGAGUUAGAGGAAUGUGGUCGAUGACGGGAUCGAGGGACGAAGCUUGGGAGAAGCUGAGGUCGAGGAUCAAGAUCAUGCGGAACGUUCGUGCAAAGGAACAAUGAAAGUGAAGGCUACGAUGAUCCGGGAGGGCACCGGUUUGUCGUACGUUGUUUAUACCGGAAAUGUAUGGUAUCGUAGAUAUUCGACACGUGAUGGU